AAGUUGUCAUUUCUCAACGUUUCGUCCAGGUAGUGAUUAUGUCAAAACUGUCUGGAUUCCUUCUUCAAGUGGUGCUGAGCGUCGUUUUCGAAAUUGGACUUCUCCAGAUUGCAGUCAGGAUAAAAUGGAAAGGAACACCCCCAGUCGAGGGCGCUCUGACUACAUGGAAUAAGGCACUGUUAGUGCCCUGGAGGCGGCAUACCCUAGCCAGGUGUCUUGACGUAUGAUUCUUCAGGGCAACAUCUUGUGUUCACGUCGAUAAAAACGGACUUUUCCCCAGUUCCAACAUCGACCACAAUCGCUAGCGGCGUAAUAAG
rnacentral:lncRNA from 1 species